rnacentral:lncRNA from 1 species
AGGCUCUCUAGAUGCUUCCUAGUGGUGCACUAAGUCAUUAUAGUGGCUAGUGGGAAUUUAUAAGCAUGUUAGUGGGAAUUUUCUAAGUCCUAUGGUGAAUGUAUGGUAGUGGACAAUAAAUCAUACUAUGUAAGAAUAUGCUAUAAAUAGGACUAUCAUGUACUUUUCAAAGGAACUUGGAAUAUAAUCUAAUUUGAGAGUUUCUCUUGUGAGAACUUUUUCUUUGUUCUUGUGAUAAGAACAUUGUUCUUGAGAUAAGAACUUUAUAGUGUUGGUUCUACCGGCAGNNN